UGUGCACUGGUGGGGUCCCUUGGCCGGGCCUGUACCCUCUCGCAAUCUGGGACCCUUUGGGGGAUGUCAGACUGCUGGUUUUGGCCCUAUCCCUGCAGGCCAGGCCAAGGGACCCCACCAGUGCAAG
rfam:Myotis brandtii contig323522, whole genome shotgun sequence.